rnacentral:rRNA from 1 species
CCUACGGGUGGCAGCAGUGAGGAAUAUUGGUCAAUGGACGCGAGCCUGAACCAGCCAAGUAGCGUGAAGGAUGACUGCCCUACGGGUUGUAAACUUCUUUUAUAUGGGAGUAAAAUGUUCCACGUGUGGGAUUUUGUAUGUACCUUAUGAAUAAGCAUCGGCUAAUUCCGUGCCAGCAGCCGCGGUAAUACGGAGGAUCCGAGCGUUAUCCGGAUUUAUUGGGUUUAAAGGGAGCGUAGGUGGGUUGUAAAGUCAGGUGUGAAAUUUGGCGGGUCAACCGGUACAGUGCAGUUGAAACUGGCAGACUUGAGUACAGUAGGGGUGGGCGGAAUUCGUGGUGUAGCGGUGAAAUGCUUAGAUAUCACGAAGAACUCCGAUUGCGAAGGCAGCUCACUGGACUGCGACUGACGCUGAGGCUCGAAAGUGUGGGUAUCAAACAGGAUUAGAUACCCGAGUAGUC